rnacentral:misc_RNA from 1 species
GGAUUGUUGAAGCCCGAUGAUGUGGGAGAUUCAGAUAUCGAGAUUCCAGAAUUUAAUGUUUCUUAUAAGCCACAGAAAAUCAGUCCCAAGUUCCAACAUAAUGUGAGGCAUUUGUUGCAUUCAAAAAUUCGGGAUUCAUAUAUGCAUCCCCAAUUCACCUCUGAUGUUAUGAAACCCUUGCAAAUCGAACAAUUGAUGGACCAAGAGGUUGUAAAUCUUUCUGGUGGAGA